rnacentral:rRNA from 1 species
CCUACGGGUGGCAGCAGUGAGGAAUAUUGGUCAAUGGACGAAAGUCUGACCCAGCCAAGUAGCGUGAAGGAUGACUGCCCUAUGGGUUGUAAACUUCUUUUAUAAAGGAAUAAAACGAGGCACUUGUGCCUUUUUGCAUGUACUUUAUGAAUAAGAUUCGGCUCAAUCUGUGCCAGCAGCCGCGGUACUACGGAGGGUCCGAGCGUUAUCCGGCUUUUUUGGGUUUAAAGGGAGCGUAGAUGGGUUGUUAAGUCAGUUGUAAAAGUUUGCGGCUCAACCGUAAAAUUGCAAUUGAUACUGGCAGUCUUGAGUACAGUUGAGGUAGGCGGAAUUCGUGGUGUAGCGGUGAAAUGCUUAGAUAUCACGAAGAACACCGAUUGCGAAGGCAGCUUACUAAACUGUGACUGACACUGAUGGUCGAAAGUGUGGGUAUCAAACAGGAUUAGAUACCCCAGUAGUC